AUUGAACGCUGGCGGCAGGCCUAACACAUGCAAGUCGAGCGGUAGCACAGGAGAGCUUGCUCUCUGGGUGACGAGCGGCGGACGGGUGAGUAAUGUCUGGGAAACUGCCUGAUGGAGGGGGAUAACUACUGGAAACGGUAGCUAAUACCGCAUAACGUCUUCGGACCAAAGUGGGGGACCUUCGGGCCUCACGCCAUCAGAUGUGCCCAGAUGGGAUUAGCUAGUAGGUGGGGUAAUGGCUCACCUAGGCGACGAUCCCUAGCUGGUCUGAGAGGAUGACCAGCCACACUGGAACUGAGACACGGUCCAGACUCCUACGGGAGGCAGCAGUGGGGAAUAUUGCACAAUGGGCGCAAGCCUGAUGCAGCCAUGCCGCGUGUGUGAAGAAGGCCUUCGGGUUGUAAAGCACUUUCAGCGAGGAGGAAGGGUGGUGUGUUAAUAGCGCAUCACAUUGACGUUACUCGCAGAAGAAGCACCGGCUAACUCCGUGCCAGCAGCCGCGGUAAUACGGAGGGUGCAAGCGUUAAUCGGAAUUACUGGGCGUAAAGCGCACGCAGGCGGUUUGUUAAGUCAGAUGUGAAAUCCCCGCGCUUAACGUGGGAACUGCAUUUGAAACUGGCAAGCUAGAGUCUUGUAGAGGGGGGUAGAAUUCCAGGUGUAGCGGUGAAAUGCGUAGAGAUCUGGAGGAAUACCGGUGGCGAAGGCGGCCCCCUGGACAAAGACUGACGCUCAGGUGCGAAAGCNUGGGGAGCAAACAGG
rnacentral:rRNA from 1 species